UGCUCAUCCAGAUACCAGGAAUCUCACUGC
rnacentral:piRNA from 1 species